AGUGAACGCUGGCGGUAGGCCUAACACAUGCAAGUCGAACGGCAGCACAGUAAGAGCUUGCUCUUACGGGUGGCGAGUGGCGGACGGGUGAGGAAUACAUCGGAAUCUACUUUUUCGUGGGGGAUAACGUAGGGAAACUUACGCUAAUACCGCAUACGACCUACGGGUGAAAGCAGGGGAUCUUCGGACCUUGCGCGAUUGAAUGAGCCGAUGUCGGAUUAGCUAGUUGGCGGGGUAAAGGCCCACCAAGGCGACGAUCCGUAGCUGGUCUGAGAGGAUGAUCAGCCACACUGGAACUGAGACACGGUCCCGACUCCUACGGGAGGCAGCAGUGGGGAAUAUUGGACAAUGGGCGCAAGACUGAUCCAGCCAUACCGCGUGGGUGAAGAAGGCCUUCGGGUUGUAAAGCACUUUUGUUGGGAAAGAAAAGCAGCAGGUUAAUACCCCGCUGUUCUGACGGUACCCAAAGAAUAAGCACCGGCUAACUUCGUG
rnacentral:rRNA from 1 species